ACGGGAGGCAGCAGUGAGGAAUAUUGGUCAAUGGACGGAAGUCUGAACCAGCCAUGCCGCGUGAAGGAAGAAUGCCCUAUGGGUUGUAAACUUCUUUUGCCACAGAGUAAUAAGGGUCGUGCGCGGCCUGAUGAGAGUAUGUGGCGAAUAAGCAUCGGCUAACUCCGUGCCAGCAGCCGCGGUAAUACGGAGGAUGCAAGCGUUAUCCGGAUUUAUUGGGUUUAAAGGGUGCGCAGGCGGCUUUUUAAGUCAGUGGUUAAAUCGUGACGCUCAACGUCAUCACGCCAUUGAUACUGGAGAGCUUGAUUGCGGUCGAGGUUUGCGGAAUUCGUUGUGUAGCGGUGAAAUGCAUAGAUAUGACGAAGAACACCGAUUGCGUAGGCAGCAGACCAGGCCGUAAAUGACGCUCAUGCACGAAAGUGCGGGGAUCGAACAGGAUUAGAUACCCUGGUA
rnacentral:rRNA from 1 species